UUGAAAGUACGCCAUAAAUAUGGCGCCAAAAGAGUUUUCAAGCUGCUGAUAAAAGCAGAUUUUUGAGAGUAAUCUUAGUUUCUGUGGAGGAGGAGGAGAGGAGGAGAGGAGAAGAGGCUGCAGGAGAGGACCUGUGCGUUAGAGCGGAGCAGUGUGCACGCAGGGGGAAGGAGUGAAGAGAGGAGAGCUGGAUGUUUUCUUUUUGAAGGAGGGACAUUGCGAAACUGGCUUGCAAUCUUUUCUGACUCAUCGUUUGGAUAUAAGGCAUCCUUUUUAUUUCCUCCCCCCUCCUCGCGCUCCCCCGGGCCCCCACCCGUACCUCUGGCACCGGAGAGGAGAGCUCAGGAGGAUUUUGACACCACGUUUGGGUUCCUUUUGCAAAAUGCGACAUGCUUUCCUGUGAGCGGUGCGUUGUGCGCACCUCGCAGCCUGCUGCACUGUGAACACACCGGGACCAGGACCAGGACCAGUACCAGCACCGGGUUUGUUUUCCUCACUCUGAUCAGCUGUAACUUCUUCAGGACUCUCUCUGGAUUUAUUUGGAUUAUUGGAGUCUGUGUUGAGGGGGACUGACGCGCUGUCAACGCGCACCGAGAGGGGAAGGAAAGGAAGGGAGGGGAGAGAGGACGAUCCUGUCACCCAACGUGGAUCCAGACUCAGGGGCUGUGUAGCUGCACUGCUAAGGGACCGAGUGGGCACAGGGAACUAAAACCUGCCCUGUGAACUACAUGUGCCCGGCUCCAAAUGAUCUCCUAAUCUCUGGGAACCGCGCGCCGUCCAGGAUUGAGGACGCAUCUGCACCCAAAGCUGACUGAAGAUGGAGAGCGAAAAGAAGAGGAGGAAAUACUCCACGAGCAGCAACGACUCUGACACCACCGACAAAUUACUCUACAUGAUUUUAAUAUCAGAUCAUGGACCUGACCUAAAUCAUGAAACAAAGACUAGCAGCAACAAGAUUCACAUCUCCAAACCGUCUCAAACAAAACCAGCAGAGAGAGGACGAGGUCUUCA